UUUCAGACAGAAGUCAGUAGCCCUGAGUAAGAUCAGUGUGAACUGAACUAAGACCAGCAGAACCAAACACAUGAUAUGCAUCACACCAUGGCUGUCAAUAGGCUCUAUGCAUUAUACCGCCUCCAACUUCCGGGUUGAUGACUUCCGGAGCGAUUUCUGCUAUUGUUUUUAUCAUUAGCUUACUAGCUAUCUAAAUGUCGUGUGCAUUUCUGACUGAAAUAGUUUGCAAUGACUACGUUUAAAUUACAGCCCCGCGAAGGAGGUGCUAAUGAACAUUGUUCAGUGCGUCUGUGUUCAGUUUCUUCCAAAUUGAAUGGUAUUGUGCGCUUCCAUAGUUUCCCGGUCAGUGUAGAGCUCAGAAAAAGGUGGUUGGUGGCAAUACGUCGUGACAACUUUACUGUCACCAAACACACAAAUAUGUGUUGUGCACAUUUCGUUGAGUGACUUUGUUGAGGUAAACAUUGGGAGUUGACAAUACCUAAAAAUAGGUGUUGUUCCUACAGUCUUGGCGUGGAACUGGCACAUUCAAAAGAGACCUGGUGUUUGGGAAAGAAGACUGAAACCUCCUGGUCCGACUGAGGAGGAUGAAGAACAAGGUGCGCUGCCUAUGGACUGUGCCAUCUCUGAUCCGGUCCAGACACAUGAUUACUGUGGGGUCCCUGAACCCACAGCCCUGGACAUGGCCUUAAUGGAAAACCUUGAGCACGUAAGAGAAAUUGAGGAGCUUCGAGCCAAGCUGGAGAAACUGAUCGCCCAACACGGCUUUGGUCUACAGCGAUUUGCUGGUUCUGACGAGGAUAUACGUUUUUACACAAGACACUGCCAUCAAUCGACAAGCUCUUCUUGUUUAUGACUCAUCUGUCUCUGGGUCUGAAACAGAAGGAUUUGGCCCAUCGGUUCAGCAUCCACCAAUCAACAGUGAGCCGGAUUAUCAUCUCUUGGGCCAACUUCCUCUACUGUCUGCUUGGAUCAGCACGGAUAUGGAUCCCCAAGGAAACCAUCAAAGCCCACCUGCCACCUGAGUUCAAGGACUAUCCAGACACCUAGGUAGUGAUCGACUGCCAGACAUCAUCUUCACUACUACUGCAGAGGGAGGUGUUUUCUUCCUACAAGUCACACUGUACCUCUAAGGGCAUAUGUGAGUGACAUGGAGAUCUUCAAGCAGUUUGGAAUGAUUUCCUUACUCACCCCUGACAUGGCCAUUAUGGUGGAUAAGGGCUUUCUCGUAGAUGACAUUGUUCCGUGCAAGGGCUACCGGCCAGUCUUUCUGUCAAGACGCACACAGAUGCCAGCGCAUGAGGUUAGGGAGACCCGAUCCAUUGCCAGGCUGAGAGUGCAUUUUGAAAGAAUGAUCCACAGAGUAAAGGAGCACAAGCUGUUUGACACAGUCACCCCCCUGACCAUCUCAGGCAGCAUCAACCAAUUAUUUGCAGUGGCGUGCCUGUUGGUCAACUAUCAAAAUGGACCUUUGGUCAGAGCAUGGGCCAAGUCAGUGUAAAUGUACAUGUGCUUACUUGCUAGCAGCAAAAUAAUAAUUUGUUUAUCUACGACAUGUAUCAAUCAUUUGUGUUGUAGUGAACAUCAGUUUGUGUGGAGCUUGUAUUGGCUUUAUUUAGGCAAUGAGUUUAGGGGUGGGGGGAAAGAAAUCAAGUCAACACAGAAUAGCCAGAAUGCAAGACUGAAUACAAUGUUAGAGAUGUGUAAUUGAUUAACUGAACUGUUGAACAUUUGCUGAAAUACAUUUUUUUAAACAAA